rnacentral:rRNA from 1 species
UCAAGAAACUUCCACAAUGGGCGAAAGCCUGAUGGAGCGACGUCGCGUGAUGGACGAAGUGCUUCGGCACGUAAACAUCUUUUAUGUGGGAUGAAAUUAUUGACAGUACCACAUGAAUAAGGGGCUCCUAACUCUGUGCCAGCAGGAGCGGUAAUACAGAGGCCCCAAGCGUUAUCCGGAAUCACUGGGCGUAAAGGGCGCGUAGGCGGCCCCAUAAGUCUCGUGUGAAAGCCCUCGGCUUAACUGAGGAUCUGCACGGGGUACUGUGGGGCUCGAGUUCGGGAGAGGAAAGCGGAAUUCCGGGUGUAGCGGUGAAAUGCGUAGAUAUCCGGAGGAACACCAGUGGCGAAGGCGGCUUUCUGGACCGACACUGACGCUGAGGCGCGAAAGCUAGGGGAGCAAACGGGAUUAGAUACCCCAGUAGUCCCUGAGCGGGCUGGCAAGGCGCAU